rnacentral:lncRNA from 1 species
CAACAGCAACAACAACAACAACAACAACAACAACAACAGCAGCAACAAUAGUAACAGUAAUAACAACAGCAACAACAACAACAACAAUAACAACAGCAACAGCAACAGCAACAGCAACAACAACAGCAAUAAUAACAACAACAACAGCAACAGCAGCAACAGUAAUAGCAACAACAGCAAUAGCAACAACAACAGCAGCAACAGCAACAGCAAUAACAACAACAACAGCAGCAAUAACAACAGCAAUACCAACAGCAACAGCAACAACAACAGCAACAGCAACAACAACAGCAACAGCAACAACAACAGCAACAAC